UGUGUAACAUGUAUACUUAUACAUAAUCAUGUAAUUGAAGUAGAUUAAUACUAAUAAAAAAAACAGAUGUGAUUCUUCUUAAAUUUUUGUCUAUUGAUGUGCAAUAAUUUAGUAAUUAGUUUCACAAACUGAAUUUCAAAUCCUGCAUCUACUAAUGUGAAUUUGCUGUUUAAUUUUAUGUUUUACAUUGUUUUUGCCCUGAAUGUAAUUGAAAACUUGUGAAGCUGUACAGUUUUGUAGGAAAAUGAGGAGGUUAAUUGAACUCAGAGGUUGACCAAGAAUUUGAGCGAAGGAGGUGAGGACUGGUGGAUGAUCUCAAUAAUGAAGAGAUGAGAGAAAACAAUGCAAACUGUGACUCUUUGCAGGAAUAUUUGUAACAAAUCAAGAUCCAUGUUGAACCUUGUUUGCCCUGUGUCAACACUAUUGGCACAUGAAGUUGUCUCUUGUUUUCUUUCUAUUGCCCGCAAAAUGUAAUUAAAAAGUUAAUAAAUGGAACAUGUAAACUUA